CCUACGGGAGGCAGCAGUGGGGAAUAUUGGGCAAUGGAGGCAACUCUGACCCAGCAACGCCGCGUGAGUGAUGAAGGUCUUCGGAUUGUAAAACUCUUUAAGUGGGGACGAAGAAAGUGACUGUACCCACAGAAUAAGCCUCGGCUAACUACGUGCCAGCAGCCGCGGUAAUACGUAGGUGGCAAGCGUUGUCCGGAUUUACUGGGUGUAAAGGGCGUGUAGCCGGGUUGACAAGUCAGAUGUGAAAUCCUGCGGCUUAACCGCAGAACUGCAUUUGAAACUGUUGAUCUUGAGUACUGGAGAGGCAGACGGAAUUCCUAGUGUAGCGGUGAAAUGCGUAGAUAUUAGGAGGAACACCAGUGGCGAAGGCGGUCUGCUGGACAGCAACUGACGGUGAGGCGCGAAAGCGUGGGGAGCAAACAGGAUUAGAUACCCCAGUAGUC
rnacentral:rRNA from 1 species